AGUAUCUUAUCGUUUUGUUAGCACUCUGCCUUUUUGCUACAAUUGCAAUUGUGGUCAUGGCAAUAUAUUUGAAGAAGAAAAGAGAAAAUAAUAUUAGUAGAUGUACAGCUCACAGUCUUGAAGAGUCGCAGUAUGCUGAUGUGAAACAUUGUGCACGUGCAAAGGAACAAAAUCAGGAUGUCUUAAAGGAGACUGAACCGACCUGUGAUACGAUAUACUCAGGUGUUGUGACAUAACGUC